CGUAGGGUGCGAGCGUUAAUCGGAAUUACUGGGCGUAAAGCGUGCGCAGGCGGUUUGUUAAGAUAGGCGUGAAAUCCCCGGGCUCAACCUGGGAACUGCGCUUAUGACUGGCAAGCUAGAGUACGGCAGAGGGGGGUGGAAUUCCACGUGUAGCAGUGAAAUGCGUAGAGAUGUGGAGGAACACCAAUGGCGAAGGCAGCCCCCUGGGUCGAUACUGACGCUCGAUGCACGAAAGCGUGGGUAGCAAACAGGAUUAGAUACCCUGGUAGUCCACGCCCUAAACGAUGUCAACUAGGUGUUGGGAGGGUAAAACCUUUUAGUACCGGAGCUAACGCGUGAAGUUGACCGCCGUGGGGAGUACGGCCGCAAGGUUA
rnacentral:rRNA from 1 species